UACGCAGGGUGCGAGCGUUGUCCGGAAUUAUUGGGCGUAAAGAGCUUGUAGGGGGUUUGUCGCGUCUGCUGUGAAAAUCCGGGGCUCAACCCCGGACUUGCAGUGGGUACGGGCAGACUAGAGUGUGGUAGGGGAGACUGGAAUUCCUGGUGUAGCGGUGGAAUGCGCAGAUAUCAGGAGGAACACCGAUGGCGAAGGCAGGUCUCUGGGCCACUACUGACGCUGAGAAGCGAAAGCAUGGGGAGCGAACAGG
rnacentral:rRNA from 1 species